rnacentral:rRNA from 1 species
AAUCAACGCUGGCGGCGUGCCUCAGACAUGCAAGUCGAACGAUUAAAGCUCUCUUCGGAGAGUGCAUAAAGUGGCGCACGGGUGAGUAACACGUAAGUAAUCUACCUUCGAGUGGGGAAUAACGUCCGGAAACGGACGCUAAUACCGCAUAAUGCAGCGGCACCUAAUGGUGACAGUUGUUAAAGAAUUUAUUCGCUUGAAGAGGAGCUUGCGGCAGAUUAGCUAGUUGGUAAGGUAAUGGCUUACCAAGGCUUCGAUCUGUAACCGGUCUAAGAGGACGGUCGGUCACACUGACACUGAAUAACGGGUCAGACUCCUACGGGAGGCAGCAGUCGGGAAUUUUGGGCAAUGGGCGAAAGCCUGACCCAGCAACGCCGCGUGAAGGAUGAAGUAUUUCGGUAUGUAAACUUCGAAAGAAUGGGAAGAAUCAAUGACGGUACCAUUUAUAAGGUCCGGCUAACUACGUGCCAGCCGCCGCAGUAAAAC